ACCACAAAAUACGUUUUAUUGUGUCCUGAAAGCGCAUACUCUCUCGCGCUCUCUCUCUCUCUUUCAAAUUUACACACAACACACACUUGUAUAGAAACGUUUUGUCAGCUGCUCUGACGACUUAAUCAGUAAAAUAGGCUAGUUUAGCAACUUAAAAGACACAUGACUCACCAGCGAGGUAUUAACUGUGCGGUUCUUGAGGUAGAUAAACUUAUAGUUUCGCUAUUAGUAGAGACACUGCUGCUGUUAGAGACACACAGACUCAGGUAGGCUAAUGCACAUAUGAUAUGCCCAUUCUCUCUCUCAACUGUGUUAAUAACUGUAUCAAUGGUAUUAUUCUGCCAUCACACACAAGAGUAUUUUAAAGACAAAUCUGACAAAUGUCUUGAAAUACAACACUGGAACAGUGUCUUGAGGUGUGGUAACCGAAGCGGAAUAAUUGACUCUGGGCCUUUGAUUUCUUAGAAAAUAAUUCACACCCGCCUCGCGUCAUGGCCGCAUUACCACCUUGGGUGUGCAUUAUUUUCUAAGAAAUCAGCGGCCCAGAGUCAAUUAUUCCUUACUUAUUGUAUAUUGCGUAUUACACUAUUAAAAAUUAAACUCAUACAGUAGUAUGCUACAGGUUUUCCAAGAAAGACAAUAGUGGAACCCAGAUCUUGACAGAGUGAACAAACUACAUUUUUUCUCUUUCAAGAAGCCCUUUCACUUCGAUAUACGUCAUUAUAUAUGGAAGAAAAGGCAGUCACGGUUUCCAUUUCAUGCCGAAGUCAUCUUGAGGCCUCCUGUUUGAGAAUCACUGCUUUGAGCAGAGAACCAAAAUGGGAUCCUACAACAGCAGUUUCCUUUCUACAGAAUUGUUUAUGUUGUAUUCUAUAGCUAAAUACUUGAAAAAAUAUGAUUUGCCCUGAACAUUAAAUUUAAUUAUUGUGUGUGUGUGUGUGUAUUUGCCAUCACAAAUAUUUUAUUUUAGAGAAUAUUGGCUAUAACCUGUCAUGAACAGAGGCAACAGGAUCUAAACGUCUGGAGGGAAGGAAUAAUGCGCUGCUCCCCGAGCCUGACCCAACAUGUCAUUAACCCAUAAAGGUGAACAGGAAUAAUGCAGAUAAGGCAGAGUCACCUUCGUUGGAAUUAAGCUAGAACAUCAGCCGUGACAUUACAUGAAUGGUCUUGAUGUAGAAAAUUUGCCCUCCCCACCGAGUCAGAUCAGAGUCCACAAUUUCAGAAGGGUGGCGGCUUGCUGGAUGUAGCACCUGUAUGAUGUCAUCAGUGUCCUGAGCUGCAUUCUGGAACACAGACUGGCAGUGCUGCAGUCCUCCCAUGCUGCCGGUCACAAGGAUUCGUCCGUGUCUCUGUCUCUUCAUGUCCGGUAGGAAGGUCUGUAUGGUGCGAAGUGUGCCCAGCAGAUUGACGUCCAGGAUCCCACGCAUAGUGUCCAGUGAGUGAGCUUCCAGAGGGCCCAUCAGACCUACACCUGCAUUACAAACUAACACAAAGAUAUCAGGAGGGAAUCAAUCAAAUAAAUAUGGGGUUUUUAUAAACCAUGUAAGCGCAGUGAAUUUGAAGGAUGCCUGUUCGUGUAGGCUUUAUACACACCUUUUCCCUUUGAAAGAGCAUAAUAUCUUAUUUUCUCUUACCCAGUAUGUCAAUUCUGCCCUCUGUAACAUUUCUUUUGGCAUCAAGUAUAGACUGCUGGUCUGUCACAUCCAUCUGUAGUAUGGCCAUAGUGUCUUUAUGCAGUCCUCUCACACUCUCCAACAGCCGUUGCUUCUUGUCCAGAUUCCUCAUGGUAGCAUAGACUAAACAACAUCAAUAAUCACUCAUUCUUUUAAACAAUGACUGUAACUAUAUAAAGCACACUUUUCACUAACAUUAACUGUAAUUUUCAGACAUACAUGUCAGCAUAAACUUUAAAAAGAACCACAGAAAUGCAUUUUUUUGUUACAUUAGUUACCUUUGUAGGCUUUUGAUGGAUUUGAUGCGAGAUGCACAGCAAGGCUGAGCCCAAUCCCUGAAGAACAUCCAGUAAUGAGAACAACUUUCUGCUCCAUUUGUGCAAUAAAACAUCAGUCCGCUACACCAAAGAGACGAGCGCUGCAUUUGAAGUGCAGGUGCGACUUCGAACUGACACAUGCCGUACAUGUUAACAGCUGUGGUAAAUAUUAAACUAACAUGAAUAAAUGAAAUAUUCAUUUAAUAUUCACUUUUUUGGAGAAUGUUACAAUUAUGAUAGGGAAGAAUGAAUAGAUCUUAUAGGUUUUCAAUCAUACUUUCAUCACAUUUAAAAAGCUCAUUAGACAUUCAUUUUUUUGGUAUUAAGUGAAUGGAAAUGCUCACUGUCAGGGUCAACAUCCUUAGGCCUAACCCCUUUUCCCAUUCUGCUUCGAAAAUGUUUUGGUAAUAGCCAAAUCAGUAUUUUCUUUAUUCAUUUAUUUAAAUCAAAUAAAUGAAUAUUUAUAUGGAAAUCAUAUAGUGAUUUUGACAGCUGAAGGUAGAGUUGUAUAAUAUCUAGGAAAUGCAGUUACCUCCUUGUUUAUUGUAGAUGCAUUUUUGUUACACUUAGCCAGUGUAUUGAAUCUAUAAUGCAUUGUGUACAGUGUUGUUAUUUAUUUUGUUUCUAAGAAAUGCCUUAUACUGUAUUGGCAGAAAUGUACAGUAAUUGUUAAUGAUGUAUGUGUGUGUGCCUACCCAUGAGAAGGAGGAGCAGAAGUGCAUGCGUUUAUGUGUGUGUGUUCAAAGACAAAUAACUGUGGUUCUACUCCUAGAACCUAAAAAGGAAACCAACCAACUGGAGUUCAAGGACAUGAAAAGGCGGACUGCUUGCACCUGCGAGGCUUUGAGAAGCAUCUGGGAAAUUUUGGGAAAGUUACAACUUACGUCAGUCAAGAAGAUGAUCUAACGUAUGUGAUUAAAUGGCAGGAGUAUAAAAGACUGAUGAGUUGAUUGCCUCUUUGGAUACUGAUAAGUCAGUACCCCCGACGCCUAGAAGCCCAGAGCUGACUACACCUUUGAUUCAAAGCAUGAUUAUUGUAUUUUAUACUUUAAUGAUGAAGUUUUAUUUGCCUUUAUAUUUUUGUACAUUUUUAGAAACAAAUUAAAAGAAUUGAAUUGAUUACAAAACCUGCCUACCUUGGCUUGAUUUAUAGCAUUUUAAGACUUUGAACAAGAACAUACCACAGAGAAGUCUUCAGACCAAAUUGUAAAUAAUUUAAAAUGCUUAUAAUUUAGGCCAGACUUGACUUUAUAUAACCUGAGAAUAAUAAAUAAUAAGGUUAAAGAUGUUAAGAUCAAUGUACACACUGUAAAAAUUAUUUCUCAAAGUUGUAAAUAAAACU